rnacentral:rRNA from 1 species
UGACACGUAGGCUCCAAGCGUUGUCCGGAUUUAUUGGGCGUAAAGAGCUCGUAGGCGGUUGAGUAAGUCGGGUGUGAAAACUCUGGGCUUAACCCGGAGACGCCAUCCGAUACUGCUCUGACUAGAGUUCAGGAGGGGAGUGGGGAAUUCCUAGUGUAGCGGUGAAAUGCGCAGAUAUUAGGAGGAACACCGGUGGCGGAGGCGCCACUCUGGACUGAAACUGACGCUGAGGAGCGAAAGCAUGGGUAGCAAACAGGAUUAGAUACCCUGGUAGUCCAUGCCGUAAACGGUGGGCACUAGGUGUGGGUUCCAACUAACGGGAUCCGCGCCGUCGCUAACGCAUUAAGUGCCCCGCCUGGGGAGUACGGUCGCAAGACUAAAACUCAAAGGAAUUGACGGGGGCCCGCACAAGCAGCGGAGCGUGUUGCUUAAUUCGAUGCUACGCGAAGAACCUUACCUGGGUUUGACAUGUUUGGAAAAGCCACAGAGAUGUGGUGUCCGCAAGGGCCAAACACAGGU